GGGAAUUCUCUGGGCUGUACUGGGCUUCCCUCCAUGCUGGGGGGCAAACAGGUGCUCAGACCUCAUAGAUGAGUCACUGAGGAAGGACUGUGGGGGUCCCCAGCUGAGAGAAGCCAGCUCUGCAGAACACUCGGUUUGGAUUGUGGUUUCCCUGGCACCUUCAGGGAGGGAUCUGGGCUGCGAUCUCCUGAGCUAUGUGGUGCUCCCUGGGACAGAUCUCAGCAGUGGGGGCGCCCUGGUGAUAACCUGGAUAAUACAAUCUGAUUUUGGCCUUGAGUCUGUUCCCUUGGAUUAUUGCAUUUCUUCAAGGACCAAAAGCUGUGCUGGUGAUUCAGACCCGGAGGAGAAUAUCUUUUUUA
rnacentral:lncRNA from 1 species